rnacentral:rRNA from 1 species
UACGGGGGGGGCAAGCGUUGUUCGGAAUUACUGGGCGUAAAGGGCUCGUAGGUUGCCAACUAAGUCAGACGUGAAAUCCCUCGGCUUAACCGGGGAACUGCGUCUGAUACUGGAUGGCUUGAGUUCGGGAGAGGGAUGCGGAAUUCCAGGUGUAGCGGUGAAAUGCGUAGAUAUCUGGAGGAACACCGGCGGCGAAGGCGGCAUCCUGGACCGACACUGACACUGAGGAGCGAAAGCCAGGGGAGCAAACGGG